rnacentral:lncRNA from 1 species
GUGCUUUUGGGUCUGUCUGCUCCAUCCUUCCUGCACUUCACAGGAGGCAACCAUGAGCUCUGUGUCUCAUCUGCACCUGGCUCCCCUGAGACCCCUGUUCAGCACUGUCACCUGAAGACUUGGCUGUGCACUGCUGAUGGCCCCCUGCGCCAUCUUGUUUCUCUCUGAGGUGCCCCAGCAACUCUGCAAAUGACCCAGCAGGACCAACUUCCUGGUCCCAAGGCUGUUGGAUGGAGCUUAGGAGAGAGGGUAGAUGGAGCAUCGCUCAUCUGGACACCUCAGAAGGGGCAGACAGCAGCACGCAGAGUGCCAAAGGGGAAGAGAUGCGGAGCAAAGAACUGGAAACUUCUCAGGCAUUCACAUUGGCAACUCCUGUUCCAAGAAUAAUUAUUUAUGACAGAUUUCAAUUUUCGGGGCAGGGAUGGUGUCUUACUCAUCCUGGGCUUCAGGACAUCUGUGUAACAGACGCUCCAGGUGAAGCAGUGAUGUCAACCCUGGCUGAACACUGGAAUCACCUGGGAAGAUCAAAAAGCAACACCUCCUGCAUCUAGGUUUGGUCUGGAUAUUGGAAUUUUUUAAUGUCCUGGUGGUUUUAAUGGGCACGCAAGGUUGAGAACUACUUAUUUAUAGUUUUCAUCAAAAGUCUGUCUGGUAAACUCUUAAGUCUUUUUCAGUCUGAAGUCUUUAUUUUGAAUUCAAUCUUAAUAAAAAUUUGGUGGUUUACAGAA